rnacentral:rRNA from 1 species
CCCUUAGAUGUUCUGGGCCGCACGCGCGCUACACUGAUGCAUGCAACGAGUUUAUAACCUUGGCCUGAAAGGUCUGGGUAAUCUUUUGAACGUGCAUCGUGAUAGGGAUAGAUUAUUGCAAUUGUUAAUCUUGAACGAGGAAUUCCUAGUAAACGCGAGUCAUCAGCUCGCAUUGAAUACGUCCCUGCCCUUUGUACACACCGCCCGUCGCACCUACCGAUUGAAUGGUUCGGUGAAGAUCUCGGACUUCGAUAUUUAUUCUUUAUUGAGUUUAUAUUGUGGGAAGUUAUCUAAACCUCAUCAUUUAGAGGAAGGUGAAGUCGUAACA